CCUAUUCUCCAGACACCCACCGUCCUGCCCAUCACCAUGGAUCGCGCCGCCGCCUUGCGUCCCAACCAUUCUCAUUGCUCCGUGCCCCAUCCGCCGCCGCCGCCCACUGCAUCCACACUCUGUCGCAUCCCACUGCCGCCUCCACCGCCACCUUGAACCAUAUCUCUCCUUGGUCCUCUCUCUUUGAGUAGCAUGCGGCGACAGCUGCUUCCGGCUGCAUGGUGGAGACGCGGUUGGUCGACGGAACGCGAGUGAGGUGUAAUGUGUAUCGUUCAUCGAUCUGUUCCCAUCUCCUAUUCCUCUCUUAUCAAACGUCGCGUCUGAAGUUGCUGCAACACAUGGUGCUCUCCUUUCCUAUGGCGAUGCAUAUAAGUGACAACAAUGGUGUCCUAUUGUCCCCUCCACACGUCUGACCGCCGAGGCGCGGAAGUAGCCGCAGAAGAUCGCACUCCGCGUAGCAAAUUCUGGUGUGUUGUGUGGCUGCCCGACAAUAUGAGAAGUUUGAUUUUAAAUUGUUUUUGCCACAACCAAUUCCAAUAUGGCCAAUUCAGUUGCUUCUGUCAUCAAAAGAUUGACAUGAGUCUUAACUUCGAUAGUGUGCAUCUUAUAUUCACUCAUGUAAGCAAUCUCAUCAAGACUCCUCUCCUCUAUCUUCAAACCACACUCUAAGUCCAUGGUUUUCCUCGGCGCGUCAAACUAUAGUUGGAUCAGUGUUUCAAAAGACUUGGCACGGGCUUGAUGGAUACCACGGAGUGAGAGGGAUCAGCAAGGUGAGGUUCCUAGGGCUAUGAAUUAGCAAGUACUUUGUAUUUUCUUUAUUAUUGUAUUUCCCGUUUGUCCUAAAUUCCACUCCCAUCGAUCCGUAUUAAUUGUCGUUGACUUAGUACAUCAACGACAAUUAAUAUGGGUCACAUGGAGUACUUGAUUCAUUUCUUGCUUUCCACUGUUUGUAAUAUAAACCAAACUCUUCACAUGUUUAUGUUGCUUGAAUAUUUUAGACCGAGUUAGAAGUAAUACAACAUUUCAUUCAUAGUACAUCAUUGCUUGACUCUGUAGAUUACUAAAAGAUUUUCUUUGACUGGCCACAACAGAGGCUCACUCGCCUAUACACAACUCUUUCAGGUUGUUGAAUCUGUCCUAAUAUAGUAGAAUCUUUUUGAAUUAUGUUUUGGCUAGAAUUACUAUAUAUGAGUAUGAUUUAUCUUCGUCUCCUUGUUGAUUCAUUCUGCAUGAGAAUCGAGGAGGUCAAACACUGACAGAAAUCAAAACGGUGACACACUUAUCAGACAAUGACAUGGUACUUCUUUACAAACAGGGUACAAACUGUAAGAAAGCUCUUAGAAUGUGUUAAACUUAUUAGUCCAUGAUAUCACACUUGACAAAGAGGUUGCUGAGCACAGCCAUGGGUGGUACUACCCAGUCUCUAUUUUGUUUUCAGUAGUGAAGCUACCACUAUUUUUUGUUUUCAGUGUGAAAACUCCAGACUUUCCCCAGCAUGUAUUUUCUUUGUUUUUUUGUUUGUCCUAAAUACUACUUGAUUUAUGUUUCUUGCUUUCCACUAUUUGUAAUAUGACUCCUCAUGUGUUUAUGUGUUUAUGUCGUUCGAUGAUCACAGCUAAAAUGAUAGCUUGGAUGUUUAGAAUACUUCAAGAAUUUCUCUGACUGCCCACUGUUGUUUAUAAACUACAUAGGCUCACUAUCCUAUACACAACUCUUUCAGGUUGUUGAACCUCGCCUAAUCUAAUAUAUGUUUUGUCCAGAAUUACAUAUAGGAGUAUGAUUAUUUUCGCCUCUUUCUUACGCAUUCCUUCUGCAUGAGAAUUGAGGAGGCCAAACAUUGAUAUAGAUCAGAACAAUGACACACUUAUCAGACGGUGACAUGGCACUUCUUUACAAACAGGGUACAAACUGUAAGUUAUUAGUCCAUGAUAUCGUAAUACCUAAUAAAGAGGUUGCUGAGCUCAGCCUUAAAAAUAGAAAGGGCUAUUGGUGGUAGUGCCCAGUCUCUAUUUUGUUUUCAAUAGUGGAGCUACCACUACUUUUUUGUUUUCAGUGUGAAAACUUCAAAUUUUCCCCAGAAUGCAUUUUCCUUAUUAUCAUAUUUUUCUUUGUCCUAAAUACUACUUGAUUCAUGUAUCUUGCUUUCCACUGUUUGGUAAUAUGAACCAAACUCCUCACAUGUUUAUGUUGCUUGAAUAUUUCAGAACGAGUUAAAAAACACAUGUCGUUCAUAGUACUUAUGGAUGGUCACAACUAAAAUGAUAGCUUGGCUUUGUAGACUACUUCAAGAAUUUCUCUGACUGCACACUGUUGUUUAUAAACUACAGAGGCUCACUGGCCUAUACACAACUGUUUCAGGUUGUUGAACCUCGCCUAAUCUAAUAAAAUCCUUUUGAAUUAUGUUUUGCCCAGAAUCACUAUAUACGAGAAUGAUUUAUCUUCGUCUCUUUCUUACACAUUCCUUCUGCAUGAGAAUUGAGGAGGUCAAAGACUGAUAUAAAUGAAACGGUGAUACACUUAUCACAGGUGACAUGGUACUUCUUUACAAACAUGGUACAAUCUACAGGAAAACUCUUAGAAAUUCUUAAACUUAUUAUUCCAUGAAAUCGUAAUACCUGACAAAGAGGUUGCUGCCCAGUCUCUGUUUUGUUUGCAGUAGUUAAGCUACCACUAUUUUUUGUUUUCAGAAACUCCAAAUUUUCUACAUUGUUCGCCAGAUCCUGAAACUAUCUUGACGAAGCUUUAGUAUCUAUUUUGUAAGCUCAUGGAGAUUUUCGUUGGGUACAAUUUGCAUCAAAUAUCUUAUAUAUGUUGUGGACUAUUAUUACCUGUUGAUAAUGCUACUUCAGAAAACAUGUGAACGCCAUCCUAGGACAGAGAAAGAGGCGCUACUGGCUAGGGAUUACAUGAUAGCUACCACCGACUGAAAAUAUGAGAUAUGGAUUGACACGAAAACAAGAGAAAGAAGAAACAAAAAUAAACAGCAUAGCUCAGACGACGAGAAUAGUGGUUUCUCUCAGCGCCGCAUACUUAGUUGGUGCAGCAUGCUCCUGGGACAUACCAGGCUAAGUGAUGUUCCAGAGUACACAUGGAAUGUGACUUGAUGGAAGUCAACGGCUUGACGGCGGGGUGAUUGGAUUUUUUGUUCUGUUGCACAGUUCAUUUAUAUGCUCAUUUCAAAUCAGUUAGCAAUGCAUCCAAUGUGGAAACAAAGUUGGAAAAACUUAUGCUUUCUAAGUACAUCUGAUUUCCAUGCUUUGGUGUUACUUCUUUUUGGCUU